rnacentral:lncRNA from 1 species
AAUUAAAGUAGAGCAAAAAUAAUUAGUAAUGUGUGGCACAACUGAAAGAAUUUCCUCCAAUAAAAUACAUAGUAUUUAUAUUAACUUAGAGAAUACACAUUCUUAUCAAAUAUGCACAAAACAAUUAUAUUUUUCUAUGCAUUAGGACACAUAGAAAAAAAUCAAAUUCCCCCAAACUGGUAUAAUGUAUAUCAUAGUCUCUGACCACAAAGUGAAAUAAGACAAAUAACUACAAAAGAAUAGCCAAAACAAAACAAAAAAACCCAACCCAUUUGGAAAAUUAAAGCAACUAACAUAGAACUCUUAGGUUAAAAAUAAAAUCAAUAUGAAAAAUGCAGAUUACUUAGGAACAAUGACAAUGGGAACUGGAAAAGGGGUACUCAAUAGAAAUUGUGUAGUCUUAAUUUCAUGUAUGAGAAAACAAGAUUAAAAAUAAAUGAACUGUGUACUAAGGCAAGAAAGCCAAAAGGAUAAAAAAAUUAACCUAAAGAAAUUAGAAAUAUUUCAUUUAUAAAGAGAAAAAUAAAAAUUAAUGAAACAGGAGGCCAAAAAAAAAAAAGGCAAACAGAUGACUUGAAAAGACUAACAUAAAAGACUAAGGUUUAUAAAUUUAAUCAAGGAUAAAAGAUUGAGAGCAUACAUUAAGAAAUUUAGAAACAAGUAUAGGGAGAAAAUUACAGACUUGGAAGAAAUUAAAUAUAAGACAUAAUAAUAGCACAUAUAGUAUAGGUCAACAAAAUUAAGCAUCAUGAUGAAUUAGACUAAUUUUUUAAGCAAUAUAUGAAUUACCAAAUUGAAUGCAAGAAGAUAUAGAAAACCUGUAGUCUCAUAAUCACAGGAAGAAAUGAAAAGACACUUUCAUCUCCAUAGUGUCCAAGUUCCCUUUCUUCUUAAUUAACAGAAGAUAUAGUUGGAAUGGCAACAUAACUGACUAAAAAUAGCUUCCUGGACUCCCUUUCCAGCCAAAACAGUCAUGUGCCCAGUGAAACACAAAAAUAAAAAUGAGAUGUAAGUAAAAGACUGUUGGAGAUUUCUAGGAAGGAUUUUUGUUUCCCUGUUACAGGCAUCGUCCCCUCUUCCCUCCCUUCCUCCUGCAUCCUAACUGGACUAAGGAUCAAAGCUUGGAGGUCAUCAGUUAUUUACUGACUGUGAGGCAACAAGCAGAGUACCAACUCAAUGCCAGAAGGAGAUGGGGGGAAUGUAAAGGAAAGUCUGGGCACCUCAGGCAUUGCUGAGCUGCUGAAUCAGCCCUAGAAUGCUUGGUCAUACACUUCCCUUUAUGUGACUCAAACAAACCUCUGUGUGGUUAAGACAGUGUUAGUCAACUUCCAGUUAUUUGCAGCUGAAUAAAAAUAAUUUUCAUUUCUCAAAUGAUGUGAAUAUCUACUUAAAAACUAAGAAGACUAAAGCAAUUCACUGAAAGCUGUAAGAACAGGAGUUCAACAACAUGGCUAGAUCCAAAAUAGAAACCAAAAAUUGUCCUAUGUACCAGUGAUGCCUAUUAGAAAAUGUAAAAGUGAUCUCAUUCACAGUAACAACAAAAACUACAAUAUAUCUAAUAAUUGAUAUAAGAGGACAGCCCGAGUGGCUCAGUGGUUUAGUGCUGCCUUCGGCCCAGGGCCUAAUCCUGGAGACCCAGGAUCAAGUCCCACGUCGGGCUCCCUACAUGGAGCCUGCUUCUCCCUCUGCCUGUGUCUCUGCCUCUCUCUCUCUCUCUCUCUCUCUCUCUCUCUGUGUGUCUCUCCUGAAUAAGGAAAAUCUUUAAAAAAAUAAAAUAAAAUAAGAUUUAAAAAAAGGAAUUGAUAUAAGAAAUCUUAAAAGCCUAUAUGAAGAAAACUAUGAAUCUUUAUUAUAGAACAUAAAAUGUUUAGGAAACAAGUACAGAAAGCCCUUGUUUUGCAUAGUUCCAACAUGCACAAGUUCCAAGUACCACAAUUUAGUUAAAUAACACUAGUUAUCCCCAACAUUUGCUACCAUGGUAUUAUAAAGUACAAACUUUACUAUUAGCAUUACAGUCCAUAAAUCAUUACAUAAAAAAACAGAUGAGUAUCAUGAUAAGUGACCAAUCACAUCACUUCUCUCAAAGUCUGUUAGUGAUUGAUCACUGCAUAUUUGUUAUUCAGUUUAUGCAUAGACAGCAAAGUGUGUCAUUGCAUUGGCUCCUUAUCUCCAGUGGUAAACCCACAUGACAUAAAAGUGACCAUUGAAAGAGGGGAAUUGGCCAUUAUAUAUGAAACUGCAGUACAUAAGUGAAAAAUGGUAAUACUGAAAGUGAAAUUCAAAUUGAAAAUAAAUGGAAUUAUAGAAAAAAUAGUAUCAAUUCACUAAGGCAUAGAAAACAUCCUUGCUCUGUAUUAUGAGUUACGUGACAAGACAGAAGGCAAGCAUUAUUGAAGCCAAUCUUGAUAAGUUUCUUAGGAAAAAAAAAA